rnacentral:rRNA from 1 species
UAGGGAAUCUUCCACAAUGGACGCAAGUCUGAUGGAGCAACGCCGCGUGAGUGAAGAAGGUUUUCGGACCGUAAAGCUCUGUUGUUGGUGAAGAAGGAUGGAGGCAGUAACUGGCCUUUAUUUGACGGUAAUCAACCAGAAAGUCACGGCUAACUACGUGCCAGCAGCCGCGGUAAUACGUAGGUGGCAAGCGUUGUCCGGAUUUAUUGGGCGUAAAGCGAGCGCAGGCGGAAGAAUAAGUCUGAUGUGAAAGCCCUCGGCUUAACCGAGGAACUGCAUUGGAAACUGUUUUCUUGAGUGCAGAAGAGGAGAGUGGAACUCCAUGUGUAGCGGUGGAAUGCGUAGAUAUAUGGAAGAACACCAGUGGCGAAGGCGACUCUCUGGUCUGCAACUGACGCUGAGGCUCGAAAGCAUGGGUAGCGAACAGGAUUAGAUACCCUGGUAGUCCAUGCCGUAAACGAUGAGUGCUAAGUGUUGGGAGGUUUCCGCCUCUCAGUGCUGCAGCUAACGCAUUAAGCACUCCGCCUGGGGGAGUACGACCGCAAGGUUGAAAC